AGGAGUUUGAUCCUGGGCUCAGGAUGAACGCUAGCGGCAGGCUUAAUACAUGCAAGUCGUGGGGCAGCAGGGGUGUAGCAAUACACUCGCUGGCGACCGGCAAACGGGUGCGGAACACGUACGCAAUCUACCCAAAACUGGUGAAUAGCCCUCCGAAAGGAGGAUUAAUACACCGUAACCUAUUGAAGUGGCAUCACUUUAUUAGUAUAGCUCCGGCGGUUUUGGAUGAGCGUGCGGCUGAUUAGGUAGUUGGCGGGGUAACGGCCCACCAAGCCUGCGAUCAGUAACUGGUGUGAGAGCACGACCAGUCACACGGGCACUGAGACACGGGCCCGACUCCUACGGGAGGCAGCAGUAAGGAAUAUUGGUCAAUGGACGCAAGUCUGAACCAGCCAUGCCGCGUGGAGGAUGAAGGCCCUCUGGGUUGUAAACUUCUUUUAUCUGGGACGAAACCCUCAUAUUCUUAUGAGACUGACGGUACCAGAGGAAUAAGCACCGGCUAACUCCGUGCCAGCAGCCGCGGUAAUACGGAGGGUGCAAGCGUUAUCCGGAUUCACUGGGUUUAAAGGGUGCGUAGGAGGGCAGGUAAGUCAGUGGUGAAAUCUCCAAGCUUAACUUGGAAACUGCCGUUUGAUACUAUCUGUCUUGAAUAUUGUGGAGGUGAGCGGAAUAUGUCAUGUAGCGGUGAAAAUGCUUAGAUUUGACAUAGAACACCAAUUUGCGAAGGCAGUCANUACUCAAUUAUUGACUCUGAGGCACGAAAGCGUGGGGAUCAAACAGGAUUUAGAUACCCUGGUAGUCCAGCCCUUAAA
rnacentral:rRNA from 1 species